rnacentral:lncRNA from 1 species
GUCAUGGGUAAACACUUGUGGGCACCCAUGGGUGUUUAUAUCGUGGAUAUAUGCGUGUGGGCACCCAUGGGUGUUCGUGUUGUGGUACAUAUGUGUGUGGGGCACCCAUGGGUGCUCAUGUCAUGGAUAUAUGUGUGCGGGGCACCCAUAGGUGUUCGUGUCGUGGAUACGUGUGUGCAGGGCACCCGUGGGUGCUCAUGUUGUGGUUACAGGUGUGCAGGGCACCCAUGGGUGUUCAUGUUGUGGAUAUACGUCUGUGG